rnacentral:lncRNA from 1 species
GCCGUUGAAAAUAGUCUGAACUAUUACUCGACCAGUCUGAAACAGUCUUAACCCAUUCUUGAUCUGUACUCGACCUAUUUUGCCGGUCUAAACCAUACUUAAACAAAGGUCUGAACAAUACUCGACCAGUCUGAACCAUACUAGACCAAAUAAGCUCUACUUUUUUAACUGUUAAAAUAAAUUUCUUUUUAACUGACAUAUAUAACAACAGCCAACAAAAUUUAUAAAUUGUUUAACCUUAUAUU